rnacentral:sRNA from 2 species
GGUCGUCUGACACCGCAUGGCAGGAGCGGGGGAACCAUUCUCCGGGCGUCGAGAGACGCCCUUGGGGUCAAGUCCUCCCGAGGACCUUCGGGUCCGAGCGAGGGCCGGGUAGUACCUCCCACCCGAACCCGACAGCUCACCUCGCAGGCGUCGAGAGGUAGCACGU